UUUGAUUUAUUUCAUAAAGUUUAUGUUUUAUGCAUUUUCAAAUGUUUAAAUGUUUUAGAUAUUUGUUUAAAUGGCAAUAGAAAUAAUGGUGGGUGUGAAAGGAUUAAAACCCUUUCACACACACCACUUGUGCACUUGCAUGCUUUAUGUCAAACUACAAAUCAACACACACAUCACUCCAUUUCUUCUUCCAAAACCGGCCCUCCCUCAAGUGGGAGUACUUUUGGGGCUUUUAUGCAAUUACAUAAAGUUUUGAUACUUUUGUGUAUUGCACUUUGGCCCAAAAGUUUACGUUUUUACGUUAAGGUCCAAAAACGCUAAAGGACAAAUUGUUUUGAUCCUUUAAUGAAGUUUUUGCAUUGAUUAAAUUUUGAGUUCUAUUGUAAUUACAUGAAGUAGUGGACUUUUGUGUCUUUACAAAGUGACCCCAAAAGUUUUGCAACAUAACCCAAAAGUUGAGGUUAAUUGCUUUAUGACCCAAAUAAGUUGUGGUUAUUGCAUGAUGGCCCAAAUUAGGUUGAGAACAAAAUUGUUUUGUCUCUUUAAAUGAGAAUUGGAUUUUCAUUUUGUUUAGCUCCAUUUAAAUCAAUUUUAUGGAUACAAAAACCAAAUGAAAAUGUUGCAUUCAAUUUAAUUAGUUAUUGUGUUAAUUAAUUAAAGGGUGAUUAUGAACCUAAGCCUAAUAUAAUUGAGCUAUGUGAAAGGCCGUUUCAAUUUGUUUGAACCAUGGGAAUGUGUAGAUUAAUUUUGGUUGUAAUUUGAUUUGAUCUAAUGUUGUAAAAGGGCUUAAGCUCUUCUUUACUUUAAAGUAAUUUGUUAUAUGCAAAUGUUGUAAUGAGCAUAAGCUCACCUUUACUUUGAAGUACUUCUUUCUUGCUUUAUUUGAUAUGCAUGAAAAUGAAGUAGUUGGGUCCAACGCCCUAAGACAACACGCCUUAAUGUGAUUAAACGCGUAACUAAAAUCAAUCACCAUCCCUAGACCGAGAUUCAACACAAGGCUCGUGUUGAAUCUAAUCAAAGGUUCAUAGUCAUCCUAAGGCCCUAAGGCAACUAUAUAGUCCAUAAAAUGAAUGCAAAGGUUAUGUUAGUAGUAUCAUAUACUCUUGCUUUAAAAACCGUUUUAUAAGCAUAGUGGGAGUAUUAUAUACAACUAAAACAAUCAUAUGGACCAAUAGUUGUAAUAGGACCAAAAUAGUUUUAAUAGAGAUUAAAAUGUAUGUUUAUAUGUGAUGAGACCUAAAACCCUCAACCAAACCAUUAUUAAGUUGAUAAGCGUGAGAGUGCUUAGAACACUCUUUCGUAGGCCUUCCACCGUGGUGGGAUCCAAUCGUUUAUGACUUGUACACCGGCUUCACCCUAUCAUGGGGGAGUACAAAGUGCAUGCUUAUACUCAGGAGGAAUCCAUAAACAUAUGAUGAGGUUGAUGUAGGCAACGAGGAUGGCCAAUAUCAUAUCAUUGUGAGGCUAUUCUUGAACCCCUUCAUGAACUAAGCAUGGUGGGAAUGACUUAACUAAGUGCAAUGGAGCCAAUAUCAUAUCAUUGUGAGGUGACACUCUCUAGAGGCCAAAUAAGAUGGGUACUUGCAUUAGUUGCAAAUGAGUAAGCGUACUCUCUCAUUAUUAUUAAUGCUAGCCAAUAUCAUAUCAUUGUGAGGUGGGCUUGGUAGUAGUGAGCCUCCCAUAACCUACUAAGAGUUUCAUCCAAAACUCUCGAAUUCCAAUGAGGGAUAUGGAAUUUGCCAAAAAUAGUGGGUGGUGCUAUUUGAUUUAAAGACCCGAAUCAAAUGGCUUAAAAUCAAUCAAUUUAUAUUCGUUAUGUAUUUGUUUACCAAUAUAUUUGCAAACGCUAUCCAACACUUGACAAAUAAAACCGAAUGUUUUAGUUUCCGGACUUGGUACCACAAUCCCAAAGAAUGUCUUAAAUGGAUUGUAUAUGUACCUAAGUAGUCUCAUCCUCAAAAUCGUUCUAUUGGUAAUGUAUCAUUGAAAGAACAUGUUAGAUAAGUCUAUCAUGAAGAGGACAACACAAACAACCAAUGCUUAAUCCUUUGUUAAAUGAACAAAGGAACUUACGAAGAUUAGCAUAAUGACAAGGACACUUUUAGUGUUAUUAGUUCUUCACUUACAAAUCGUUGUAUGAAGAAAUAAUAGUUGCUUUGAACAACCCUUAGUCAAUGCAAACACUAGUGCUUGUUUCUUUGUUAAAUGAACAAAGAACUUGAGAAGAAAGCACAAGGGCAUGGACACUUUAUGUGCCAUGAUUCUUCACUUACAAAAUUGUUGUACGAAGAAAUGAGAGUUGCCUUAAACAACUCUUGAAAGUUUGUAAUUAUGUUUAGAACAUAAUGGUUGGUUGACAAAAAUAGUCCAUCAACAUGGACUUAUGAUGAUUUUGAAUCAUUAAGUGUUGAAGUGUUAAAACACUUCUAGAGACGGGAACUAGGCAAGGACUUCACCUUUGUGUCCCUAUCCAAAUGGUUCACUAAGUUUAUUGUAAACUAUGUAGUGAACAAUAACCACACACUCUCCAAAUUGUUUGAUGUGUAUAACACAAUUGAAAUAAGUUUCAAGAGAGAUAGUGGGAGUUUAGGGACCAUGACUAUUGUAGUCAAAGGAGAAGUCAAAUGAAGAAAGCGAAAUAACUCCAAGGGAACAAACUUUCUUUAUUAAAGGAUGGACAUUGGAAGGGGUAUUUGCAAGAAAUGUCUUGCAAGUGUCAAGAACACACCUUUCGAAGGUGUUGUAAAUUGUUCUUGAAAAGUUCAAAACAGUUGGUUCUUCUACUUGAAUGCUUGAAUCCGUAUUAGUAACUAUGUUUUACAAUCGUUGUAAAAGUGUGACUAAUAAGAAGUAGAAGAUAAAUGAGAGAAGAGAAAGUACUUCACAUUCGAAACGUGAAUCAAAUGUAGAUCUCUGCGAAAGCAGAUGGUACUUACUUUCUCAUAUGAACUACCAAAGAAAUUGGAAAAACAAAGAUUGUCUUUACAUUCCAAUUUUAAGGAAUUUAAUUCCGUCACUAUAUGUGAAAUGGAUAAAUGUUUUAUUUGACAAAACAUUGUUCUUUAUUAAUGAAUGAUUAGAUUAUUGUAAUCUAAUUAAUUAUCUCUAUAGUAGAGAUGAUAUGGUAGUGUUAACUGUUUAGAAUAUAAUGAUGCUUAAAACCCAAAAGGUUGCAAGGUAGUGACUAAUCCCAACUAAGUUGUGAUUCCUCUAAAAACAUAAAUUACGAGUUGGUAAUAAAUGGAUGCUUUGGAUUGUUAAAUCCGGAUCCAAUACCUUCUUGUUAAAAUUGUAUAGAGGCGAAAUGUUUGAAUCUUUAUUCUUUUGGAAAGAAGAAAGAAUCACAAAGUUGUUGAGGUUAAUUCACUUAGAUGUUAGUGGCACUUGUCCACAAACAUAAUACUACUCAUGUUGGAUGACAUUCACCGAAGAUCACCCUCGGUUGGACUAUAGUUUAUUUUAAAUAAA
rnacentral:lncRNA from 1 species